rnacentral:misc_RNA from 1 species
GAUGAAGAACGUAGCGAAAUACGAUAAGUAAUGUGAAUUGCAGAAUUCAGUGAAUCAUCGAGUCUUUGAACGCACAUUGCGCCCCCUGGUAUUCCGGGGGGCAUGCCUGUCCGAGCGUCAUUGCCGCCCUCAAGCACGGCUUGUGUGUUGGGCCCCCGCCCCCCGGCUUCGGGGGGCGGGCCCGAAAGGCAGCGGCGGCACCGCGUCCGGUCCUCGAGCGUAUGGGGCUUCGUCACCCGCUCUGUAGGCCCGGCCGGCGCCCGCCGGCGACCCCAAUCAAUCUUUCCAGGUUGACCUCGGAUCAGGUAGGGAUACCCGCUGAACUUAAGCAUAUCAAUAAGCGGAGGA